GACAGUCCGUUGAAGAGAAGAGUAAAUUUGGGCGCAUUUCAUAGAGAGUCUCGGUUGGUGAAAAGAGAUAGAUGCAGAAGGAUUGAAGAUGGCCUCUGAGGAUAAGUUGUUGAUAAGUAAGCAGCUUCGGGCAGCACCCGUUAUCCUAGCAGCAAGUUGAUUGACUUGAUUAAAGAAAAGUAAUGAAGAUUACUUUAAAACAAAGGUGGUACCGCGAUUAUUCGCCCUUUAC
rnacentral:ncRNA from 1 species